ACAGCAGUAGCCGCGGGAAUACGGAGGGGGCUAGCGUUGUUCGGAAUUACUGGGCGUAAAGCGCACGUAGGCGGGCCGGUAAGUCCCUUGUGAAAUCGGACGGCCUAACCGUUCGGCGUGCAAGGGAUACUGUCGGUCUUGAGGCCGGGAGACGUCCGAGGUACUCCGGGGGUAGCGGUGAAAUGUUCUGAUCCUCGGGGGACCACCGGUGGCGAAGGCGUUCGACGAGAACGGGCCUGACGGUGAGGGGCGAAGGCUAGGGGAGCAAACGGGAUUAGAUACCCCCGUAGUCCCUGUCUCUUAUA
rnacentral:rRNA from 1 species